rnacentral:rRNA from 1 species
CCUACGGGAGGCAGCAGUGAGGAAUAUUGGUCAAUGGGCGCAAGCCUGAACCAGCCAAGUCGCGUGAGGGAUGACGGUCCUAUGGAUUGUAAACCUCUUUUGUCGGGGAGCAAGGCCCGCCACGUGUGGCGGGAAAGAGAGUACCCGAAGAAAAAGCAUCGGCUAACUCCGUGCCAGCAGCCGCGGUAAUACGGAGGAUGCGAGCGUUAUCCGGAUUUAUUGGGUUUAAAGGGAGCGUAGACGGUUAUGUAAGUCUGGAGUGAAAGCCCGGGGCCCAACCCCGGGACUGCUUUGGAAACUGUGUAACUGGAGUACAGGAGGGGCAGGCGGAAUUCCUGGUGUAGCGGUGAAAUGCGUAGAUAUCAGGAGGAACACCGGCGGCGAAGGCGGCCUGCUGGACUGAAACUGACGUUGAGGCUCGAAAGCGUGGGGAGCAAACAGGAUUAGAUACCCCAGUAGUC